GAUUGUGAGCUUUUUUUUCAAGAUUGCUUAGAAGAUUUCUUAUGACAAUAUUCUAUUAACAGUAGUUCUGUAUUACUUUAUGGCAGGAGUCAGUAGCCUGGAAAAAGGGUAUCUGCUUAUUUUUAUAAGUAAUUCUUUUAGAAUACCACCACCUGUUUAUAUAUUGUUCAUGUCUACUGUAUUGUGAGGCUGCCAUAGAUAGAGUAUGGCCCACAUGCCUAAAAUAUUCACUGUGAGACCUCAGAUUCAGAUUUAUCUAAUUUUCAUCUUUAACAUCUAACCAUAGGGCUGUGCACUGCUGAAACCUAGAAUGUAUUGAAUGAUCCUUGCAUAUGUUUAAUGUUUAACAGAAUUAUUUGAAAAAUAUGAAAAUACAUUUUAUGCAUUAUGAAUUCAGACAUAUUACUUCAAUAGCUGGAUAUUCCAGUGAGAACAUCUCUAUCAAUCAACAGUUUUGUUGAGUAAGAAAGAGAUUUGCAUUUAGUUGAAAUGUGGAAUUUUAAGAAAUGUUAACAUACUGAAUAUGUAGUUUAAAAACCUUUUGUGAAGCAUAUACAGCUAAAUUAUGGUAACAUAGCUUGCCUUAAACAGCUAGCAUUUGGGGAAUCAUGUUUUAUUUAUAACUCAGAUGUGAUGGUACCUGCCUAUAGUCCCAAAACUUGGCAGGUUGAGGCAGGUGGAUCUCAAGUUCAAAGCCAACUUGACUAUAUAUAACAAUACCUGUCUUUAAAAAAAAAGAAUUAA